rnacentral:rRNA from 1 species
AUUGAACGCUGGCGGCAUGCUUUACACAUGCAAGUCGAACGGUAACAGGGUGCUUGCACCGCUGACGAGUGGCGAACGGGUGAGUAAUGCGUCGGAACGUGCCGAGUAGUGGGGGAUAACGCAGCGAAAGUUGUGCUAAUACCGCAUACGUACUGAGGUAGAAAGUGGGGGACCUUCGGGCCUCACGCUAUUCGAGCGGCCGACGUCUGAUUAGCUAGUAGGUGAGGUAAAGGCUCACCUAGGCGACGAUCAGUAGCGGGUCUGAGAGGAUGAUCCGCCACACUGGGACUGAGACACGGCCCAGACUCCUACGGGAGGCAGCAGUGGGGAAUUUUGGACAAUGGGCGAAAGCCUGAUCCAGCCAUGCCGCGUGUCUGAAGAAGGCCUUCGGGUUGUAAAGGACUUUUGUCAGGGAGGAAAUCCCUAGUGCUAAUAACACUGGGGGAUGACAGUACCUGAAGAAUAAGCACCGGCUAACUACGUGCCAGCCGCCGCAGAACAC